rnacentral:tRNA from 1 species
GCCCGAACAGCACGACGGACGUGCGCCGCCCUACGAAGGCGGAGGGUGAGGGUUCGAAUCCCUCUUCGGGUG